GCUUUAGUUAAAACGAAAGUUGGUUUUCCAAUUUAACAAACGUUGGACUUUGACAACAAAAUCAAGAAUUUGUUUGAACAUUGAGUGGCUCAUUGGUGACGAUGGAGAUGCAGAAACGUGAAACAUUGGCAAGACAACGUUACAACGAUCUCAAGGUCGACAUAGCAACCAAUUUUAUAUCUGACAACGUACCUCAAAAUCUGUCUGUGUUCCGAACGCAAUGUGGAGGAUAUCUGGGCGGCCCAGCAAAGCACAUGAAUCUUCAAUUCUUGGAUAUAUGUAUUAAUUUGGAGAGUAACAGUACAAUUUCGUACAAGAAUCUCCAAGCUUUGAAAGAUAUAUUAAAGAAAUUGCCGAUAGAGGGAGAUGCAAUGGUGAAAUUGGUGGAUAGCGCUGAACAGGAAAUCAAAAACAUAUUGUCAGGUACUUUAUGAAACAUUUAUGACAUGGCCAAUUUUCACAUUUUUGUUUCUACUGGCGGUCGAUUUCCGACAUUCGGAAUGAGCAAAUAUCUUGAAAGAGAUUCCGGUAUUCAUUUGAUUUGUUCUGAAUAACCACAAGACGUAACGUCUUGAUACAUGUCAACUAACUCCCUCAACAAAGUCAUACUUAUAUUAGGUUCGCACACUCAAAUGACCUUGGCAUUCUGGAUGGAAUAUUGAUAUUUCUUAAUUUCCAGCAAAACCGCAUCAGAUAAGUUUGCAAAUAUUACGUCAUGCAGUUCUGAAUUGAAUACAAAUUUACGAUUAGUCAGAAUAUAUUUUGUUUCAAUUAAUGCAGCCAGACCGUUUCGAUAAAGCUUCAAAAUCUACCUCCAACUCUAAGAUAUUAUGGUAUACUAUCUAGUUAAAACAGUAUUUUUUACGAUUGGUCAGAUCUUUAUUCCAUCGCCAAAGCCAACCGUUGUUUGUAUGUAAUACAUUUGUAUCCAUGUUAGAAGCUAUACUACAUUUUUAUGGCAAUGAUUUCAUCUAAGAACAAAAGAAGUAGUCUGGCUUAUAAUAUACAAUCGUGUCAACUGUGUCGGUUAUCUUAAAUAAAUUGCCUGUUACAUAUAUGAA